rnacentral:rRNA from 1 species
UACGGAGGGUGCAAGCGUUAUCCGGAUUUAUUGGGUUUAAAGGGUGCGCAGGCGGAUAUAUUAGUCAGUGGUGAAAUCCCGGGGCUCAACCCCGGAACUGCCAUUGAUACUGUAUAUCUUGAAUACGGUUGAAGUAGGCGGAAUGUAGCAUGUAGCGGUGAAAUGCAUAGAUAUGCUACAGAACACCGAUCGCGAAGGCAGCUUACUAAGCCGAUAUUGACGCUCAGGCACGAAAGCGUGGGGAGCGAACAGG